rnacentral:rRNA from 1 species
AUACGUAGGUGACAAGCGUUAUCCGGAUUUACUGGGCGUAAAGGGCGUGUAGGCGGUCUUGCAAGUCAGAAGUGAAAUUCCUGAGCUCAACUCGGGCGCUGCUUCUGAAACUGCAGGACUUGAGUGCUGGAGGGGAUAGCGGAAUUCCUAGUGGAGCGGUAAAAUGCGCAGAUAUUGGGGAGAACACCAGUGGCGAAGGCGGCCUGCUGGACAUUAACUGACGCUGAGGAGCGGAAAUGUGGGGAGCAAACAGGAUUAGAUACCCUGGUAGUCCACACCGUAAACGAUGGAUACUAGGUGUGCGGGGACUGACCCCCUGCGUGCCGCAGUUAACACAAUAAGUGAUCCACCUGGGGAGUACGUUCGCAAGAAUGAAACUCAAAGGAAUUGACGGGG